GCUUACGGCCAUACCAGCCUGGGUACGCCCGAUCUCGUCUGAUCUCGGAAGCUAAGCAGGGUCGGGCCUUGUUAGUACUUGGAUGGGAGACCGCCUGGGAAUACCAGGUGCUGUAAGGA
rnacentral:rRNA from 1 species